rnacentral:rRNA from 1 species
AGCGAACGCUGGCGGCGUGCCUAACACAUGCAAGUCGAACGUGAAAGGGAGCAAUCCCAAGUAAAGUGGCGUACGGGUGAGUAACACGUAGGUAAUCUACCCCAGAAUCUGGAAUAACCGGCCGAGAGGCUGGCUAAUACUGGAUAGAGCGACGGAAUCCGUAAUUGGGUUUUUCGGGAAAGGGAGCCUGUAAAAAGGCCUUCGUUCUGGGAUGAGCCUGCGUCCCAUCAGCUAGUUGGUGAGGUAAAAGCUUACCAAGGCAAUGACGGGUAGCUGGUCUGAGAGGACGAUCAGCCACACUGGAACUGAAACACGGUCCAGACUCCUACGGGAGGCAGCAGUGGGGAAUCUUGCGCAAUGGACGAAAGUCUGACGCAGCAACGCCGCGUGAGUGAAGAAGGCCUUCGGGUUGUAAAGCUCUGUCGAGUGGGACGAAAAUGCUUGGAGUUCACAGCUCCAGGAACUGACGGUACCACUAAAGGAAGCACCGGCUAACUCCGUG